rnacentral:rRNA from 1 species
CCUACGGGAGGCAGCAGUGAGGAAUAUUGGUCAAUGGACGAAAGUCUGAACCAGCCAAGUCGCGUGAAGGAUGACGGUCCUAUGGAUUGUAAACUUCUUUUAUAAGGGAGCAAAGUGCGCCACGUGUGGGGUUUUGUGAGUACCUUAAGAAAAAGCAUCGGCUAACUCCGUGCCAGCAGCCGCGGUACUACGGAGGAUGCGAGCGUUAUCCGGAUUUAUUGGGUUUAAAGGGGGCGUAGGCGGAAUGUAAAGUCAGUGGUAAAAUUUUGGGGCUCAACCCCGUCGUGCCGUUGAAACUGGCAGUCGUGAGUGAGCGAGAGGUAUGCGGAAUGCGUGGUGUAGCGGUGAAAUGCUUAGAUAUCACGCAGAACUCCGAUUGCGAAGGCAGCAUACUGGCGCGCAACUGACGCUGAGGCACGAAAGUGUGGGUAUCAAACAGGAUUAGAUACCCCAGUAGUC